rnacentral:rRNA from 1 species
UACGGGGGGGGCAAGCGUUGUUCGGAAUUACUGGGCGUAAAGGGCUCGUAGGCGGCCAACUAAGUCAGACGUGAAAUCCCUCGGCUUAACCGGGGAACUGCAUCUGAUACUGGAUGGCUUGAGAUUGGGAGAGGGAUGCGGAAUUCCAGGUGUAGCGGUGAAAUGCGUAGAUAUCGAGAGGAACACCUGCGGCGAAGGCGGGUGGCUGGGCCGACACUGACGCUGAGGCGCGAAAGCCAGGGGAGCGAACGGG